GAUGAAGAACGUAGCGAAAUGCGAUAAGUAAUGUGAAUUGCAGAAUUCAGUGAAUCAUCGAGUCUUUGAACGCACAUUGCGCCCCCUGGUAUUCCGGGGGGCAUGCCUGUCCGAGCGUCAUUGCUGCCCUCAAGCACGGCUUGUGUGUUGGGCCCCCGCCCCCCGGCUUCGGGGGGCGGGCCCGAAAGGCAGCGGCGGCACCGCGUCCGGUCCUCGAGCGUAUGGGGUUUCGUCACCCGCUCUGUAGGCCCGGCCGGCGCCCGCCGGCGACCCCAAUCAAUCUUUCCAGGUUGACCUCGGAUCAGGUAGGGAUACCCGCUGAACUUAAGCAUAUCAAUAAGCGGAGGA
rnacentral:misc_RNA from 1 species